rnacentral:ncRNA from 1 species
UUACUGGGGUGCCUUUUGGCUGAGAUUGAGUGAAAACUCUAAACCCAUUGAACUUGAUUUGGUUAGUACCAACGAAAGGAGUAAUUAUAACU